rnacentral:rRNA from 1 species
UGCGUAGGGUGCGAGCGUUAAUCGGAAUUACUGGGCGUAAAGCGUGCGCAGGCGGUUUUGUAAGCCAGAUGUGAAAUCCCCGGGCUCAACCUGGGAAUGGCAUUUGGGACUGCAAGGCUGGAGUGCGGCAGAGGAGACUGGAAUUCCUGGUGUAGCAGUGAAAUGCGUAGAUAUCAGGAGGAAUACCGAUGGCGAAGGCAGGUCUCUGGGCUGACACUGACGCUCAUGCACGAAAGCGUGGGGAGCAAACAGG